UGGGGAAUAUUGGACAAUGGGCGCAAGCCUGAUCCAGCCAUGCCGCGUGAGUGAUGAAGGCCCUAGGGUUGUAAAGCUCUUUCACCGGUGAAGAUAAUGACGGUAACCGGAGAAGAAGCCCCGGCUAACUUCGUGCCAGCAGCCGCGGUAAUACGAAGGGGGCUAGCGUUGUUCGGAUUUACUGGGCGUAAAGCGCACGUAGGCGGACUUUUAAGUCAGGGGUGAAAUCCCGGGGCUCAACCCCGGAACUGCCUUUGAUACUGGAAGUCUUGAGUAUGGUAGAGGUGAGUGGAAUUCCGAGUGUAGAGGUGAAAUUCGUAGAUAUUCGGAGGAACACCAGUGGCGAAGGCAGCUCACUGGACCAUUACUGACGCUGAGGUGCGAAAGCGUGGAGAGCAAACAGG
rnacentral:rRNA from 1 species